rnacentral:ncRNA from 1 species
UCGUUGAGAUGCAGCAAUUGCUUCUUGAUAGUUUCUCCUCUAUUUCUCCUUUGUAGACUUGUCGCGGGGCUUUUUGCCCCGCCUUUUUUU